rnacentral:rRNA from 1 species
CACGUAGGGUGCGAGCGUUGUCCGGAAUUAUUGGGCGUAAAGAGCUCGUAGGCGGUGUGUCGCGUCGGCCGUGAAAACCUGCAGCUUAACUGUGGGCUUGCGGUCGAUACGGGCAUCACUGGAGUUCGGCAGGGGAGACUGGAAUUCCUGGUGUAGCGGUGAAAUGCGCAGAUAUCAGGAAGAACACCAAUGGCGAAGGCAGCUCUCUGGGGACGGUA